CAUUGUUGUGAGGUAAUAAACUUCCCUCGGUCCCGUGGAGCAUCAAGAAGACGUCCACUUAAUUGCGCCGUCGGGCCUGCAUUUAGGAGGAACUACAGGUUGUGAGGAAUAACAUAAAUUGCCACAUUUCCAAAUUCAUCGUGACAUUUAGCCAUGCCGUUAUUGUAUCGAGGUUGGUGACCACUACAAGAGAAAGCGCAAAAUCAGUAAGUGAUACGCUUGCGUGGUCGCCAUCUUGAGGCGGUAACCGUCUUCUGCUUAGGGUGCCUGUUUGGAAAUUAAAGUUGGUAAACAAAAUAAAAAAACAAAUGCCACAAACAUGUGCAGCAUUUGGGUGCUCCAACCGGAGGAAUGACACAAGUAAGUGUCGUGGUAUAACCUUUCAUAAGUUUCCCAAGGAUCCAGUGAGAAGAAAGGACUGGACUAUUGCCAUGAGGCGCAAGGACUUCCAACCUAACAACACAACAGUACUCUGCAGUAGCCACUUCACUACAGAUGAUUUUGACCGAACUGGACAAACUAUUCGUUUGAAGGAUUGUGUCAGUCCUUCGGUCUUUACAUCCACCCCAGAACAUCUGAAAAAAGUGCCUCAUAAAGCCAGACUGACCAGGACCUCCAUGAAAGCUGCCGAAGAGCGCGUUGUUUCGGUAGUGGUGCCUGGAGUGACACGCACCACUCCAUCAACCGCUGUAAAGAGUAUCCCGGAUCAUCACUAUGCACUUGACCAGAUACAAGUAAAAUCCAAAGUCAUCAAGGCUCAAAAGAGGAUAGAUGAACUGGAAAAGCAGCUUAGAAAUGCGAAGGAUCGCGAGAGAAGGUUGAAACUCACCGUGAAGUCACUGAUUUCAAACCAGACCGAGUAGAGGGCCCCUAUGACUCCAUCCAUCGGAUUGAAUGGCAUCUUGGUCUUCCUGUUGUCUGGUGAGUGACUAUCAGUCCUUGCGUUUCUUCAUCAAACGGCAGGCUAACGAUGUUACAUCCCAAACAUGUAUGACACACAACCGGGGGACCCUCACCCGUCCUGAUGUAAUCUCAUGAGCCAUCGAGACGCCCCCUCAACACGAAGACGUCUAACGGAGCGAUGGCCACUGCUCCCUCCCUUCGGAGUGGGGGGUAUGACUGGGUUUAAGAAGGUGAAUUAAGAUGCAGUCAAUGAGUGCCCGAAUAGAUUGAUGGGGGGGGGGUUCUGCAUCAGCAGCCUAUCAGUGCAGUUUAUCCAUUGGUUGGUAAGUGGGAUGGUUCAGUCUGACAAACAUUUGAAGGAUAUUCAAACUUGGACAAUAUAGAGGAAUCAUUGCUUCAUGAGACUGUCAUUUUCAUUACCAAGAGGAAUUUUUGGAAUUGGUCUUGUCUGGAAUGGAAGGUCCAAUACAGUAGAUUCUGUGUCCAAAACAUGUUUCCUUUGGGACAUUAAAGUUUUUCUUAAUUGUC